rnacentral:rRNA from 1 species
UACGAAGGGUGCAAGCGUUACUCGGAAUUACUGGGCGUAGAGCGUGCGUAGGUGGUUUGUUAAGUCUGUCGUGAAAUCCCCGGGCUCAACCUGGGAAUGGCGAUGGAUACUGGCAAGCUAGAGUGAGGUAGAGGAGAGUGGAAUUCCCGGUGUAGCAGUGAAAUGCGUAGAGAUCGGGAGGAACAUCAGUUGCGAAGGCGGCUCUCUGGACCAUCACUGACACUGAGGCGCGAAAGCGUGGGGAGCAAACAGG